GAUGAACGCUGGCGGCGUGCCUAAUACAUGCAAGUCGAGCGAACAGACGAGGAGCUUGCUCCUCUGACGUUAGCGGCGGACGGGUGAGUAACACGUGGAUAACCUACCUAUAAGACUGGGAUAACUUCGGGAAACCGGAGCUAAUACCGGAUAAUAUAUUGAACCGCAUGGGUCAAUAGUGAAAGACGGUUUUGCUGUCACGUAUAGAUGGAUCCGCGCCGCAUGAGCUAGUUGGUAAGGUAACGGCUUAGCAAGGCAACGAUGCGUAGCCGACCUGAGAGGGUGAUCGGCCACACUGGAACUGAGCCGCGCUCCAGGCUCCUACGGGAGGCCGCAGUAGGGAAUCUGCCGCAAUGGGCGAAAGCUUGGCGGAGCAACGCCGCGUGAGUGAUAGCGGUCUUCGGAUCGUAAAACUCUGUUAUUAGUGAAGAACAAAUGUGUAAGUAACUAUGCCCGUCUUGACGGUACCUGGUCAGAAAGCCACGGCUAACUACGUG
rnacentral:rRNA from 1 species